rnacentral:rRNA from 1 species
AGUGGACGCUGGCGGUAGGCCUAACACAUGCAAGUCGAACGGCAGCACAGUAAGAGCUUGCUCUUACGGGUGGCGAGUGGCGGACGGGUGAGGAAUACAUCGGAAUCUACUUUUUCGUGGGGGAUAACGUAGGGAAACUUACGCUAAUACCGCAUACGACCUACGGGUGGAAGCAGGGGAUCUUCGGACCUUGCGCGAUUGAAUGAGCCGAUGUCGGAUUAGCUAGUUGGCGGGGUAAAGGCCCACCAAGGCGACGAUCCGUAGCUGGUCUGAGAGGAUGAUCAGCCACACUGGAACUGAGACACGGUCCAGACUCCUACGGGAGGCAGCAGUGGGGAAUAUUGGACAAAGGGCGCAAGCCUGAUCCAGCCAUACCGCGUGGGUGAAGAAGGCCUUCGGGUUGUAAAGCCCUUUUGUUGGGAAAGAAAAGCAGCAGGUUAAUACCCCGCUGUUCUGACGGUACCCAAAGAAUAAGCACCGGCUAACUUCGUG